rnacentral:rRNA from 1 species
UUCCGCCUACGGGGCGCAGCAGUGGGGGAUAUUGCACAAUGGGGGGAACCCUGAUGCAGCGACGCCGCGUGGGUGAAGAAGCGCCUCGGCGCGUAAAGCCCUGUCAGCAGGGAAGAAAAUGACGGUACCUGAAGAAGAAGCCACGGCUAACUACGUGCCAGCAGCCGCGGUAAUACGUAGGUGGCGAGCGUUGUCCGGAAUUACUGGGUGUAAAGGGAGCGUAGGCGGGAGAGCAAGUCGACUGUGAAAUCUAUGGGCUUAACCCAUAGCUGCGAUCGAAACUGUUCAUAUUGCGUGAAGUAGAG